UACGUAGGGGGCGAGCGUUGUCCGGAAUUAUUGGGCGUAAAGAGCGUGUAGGCGGUUCGGUAAGUCUGCCGUGAAAACCUGGGGCUCAACCCCGGGCGUGCGGUGGAUACUGUCGGGCUAGAGUCCGGAAGAGGCGAGUGGAAUUCCCGGUGUAGCGGUGAAAUGCGCAGAUAUCGGGAGGAACACCAGCGGCGAAGGCGGCACUCUGGGCUGGUACUGACGCUGAGGAGCGAAAGCGUGGGUAGCAAACAGG
rnacentral:rRNA from 1 species